AUUGAACGCUGGCGGCAGGCCUAACACAUGCAAGUCGAACGGUAACAGGAAACAGCUUGCUGUUUCGCUGACGAGUGGCGGACGGGUGAGUAAUGUCUGGGAAACUGCCUGAUGGAGGGGGAUAACUACUGGAAACGGUAGCUAAUACCGCAUAACGUCGCAAGACCAAAGAGGGGGACCUUCGGGCCUCUUGCCAUCGGAUGUGCCCAGAUGGGAUUAGCUUGUUGGUGGGGUAACGGCUCACCAAGGCGACGAUCCCUAGCUGGUCUGAGAGGAUAACCAGCCACACUGGAACUGAGACACGGUCCAGACUCCUACGGGAGGCAGCAGUGGGGAAUAUUGCACAAUGGGCGCAAGCCUGAUGCAGCCAUGCCGCGUGUAUGAAGAAGGCCUUCGGGUUGUAAAGUACUUUCAGCGGGGAGGAAGGGAGUAAAGUUAAUACCUUUGCUCAUUGACGUUACCCGCAGAAGAAGCACCGGCUAACUCCGUG
rnacentral:rRNA from 1 species